GCCUCCAUGUUGCAUAUCGCGGGAUUCGUAACCCUUUGCGAGUUGUUUUUGGGCUGUGAGGCUCAUUUCACUCUGUGGAAGAAGCUGUUCUGCCUUGUGCCCCGUUCUCAGAAGGGGUCAAUAUAUCAAGUGGGCGGAGCCGAAGUGUGGCGUGUUGCCGGGACCGGAUACCUGUCCGGAACCCCAAAGAAGACGUCCGAAGACUGGCCUUCAGAAUGGUUUUAUAUAGAAGACGUCCCCCUCCCGGAUCCUAUUCGGAUCGGCCUUCCUGAGUUCGACAACGCCCCUUUGAAGAAGCAUCGGAGCUGGCGUCCACGCAGCUCCCUGGAGGAAGAUGACAGGGACGUUCUUUACCUGAUGAGC
rnacentral:rRNA from 1 species